rnacentral:rRNA from 1 species
UCGAACGAAGUAGCAAUACUUAGUGGCAGACGGGUGAGUAACAUGUAGGUAUCUGCCCUUUGGCCUGGAAUAACACGAGGAAACUUGUGCUAAUACCGGAUAAGUCUUUACGGAGAAAGCUUUAUGCACCAUUGGAUGAGCCUGCACUUGAUUAGUUUGUUGGUGGGGUAAUGGCCUACCAAGACUGUGAUCUAUAGCUGAUUUGAGAGGAUGAUCAGCCACAUUGGGACUGAGACACGGCCCAAACUCCUACGGGAGGCAGCAGUGGGGAAUCUUGCACAAUGGAGGAAACUCUGAUGCAGCGAUGCCGCGUGAGUGAAGAAGGCCCUUGGGUUGUAAAGCUCUUUCGUCGGGGAAGAAAAUGACUGUACCCGAAUAAGAAGGUCCGGCUAACUUCGUGCCAGCAGCCGCGGUAAUACGAAGGGACCUAGCGUAGUUCGGAAUUACUGGGCUUAAAGAGUUCGUAGGUGGUUGAAAAAGUUGGUGGUGAAAUCCCAGAGCUUAACUCUGGAACUGCCAUCAAAACUUUUCAGCUAGAGUAUGAUAGAGGAAAGCAGAAUUUCUAGUGUAGAGGUGAAAUUCGUAGAUAUUAGAAAGAAUACCAAUUGCGAAGGCAGCUUUCUGGAUCAUUACUGACACUGAGGAACGAAAGCAUGGGUAGCGAAGAGGAUUAGAUACCCUCGUAGUCCAUGCCGUAAACGAUGUGUGUUAGACGUUGGAAAUUUAUUUUCAGUGUCGCAGCGAAAGCGAUAAACACACCGCCUGGGGAGUACGACCGCAAGGUUAAAACUCAAAUGAAUUGACGGGGACCCGCACAAGUAGUGGAGCAUGUGGUUUAAUUCGAAGAUACGCGCAGAACCUUACCAACACUUGACAUGUUCGUCGCGACUCUAAGAGAUUAGAGUUUUCGGUUCGGCCGGACGAAACACAGGUGCUGCAUGGCUGUCGUCAGCUCGUGUCGUGAGAUGUUGGGUUAAGUCCCGCAACGAGCGCAACCCUCACUUUUAGUUGCCAUCAUUAAGUUGGGCACUCUGAAAGAACUGCCAGUGAUAAGCUGGAGGAAGGUGGGGAUGACGUCAAGUCCUCAUGGCCCUUACGUGUUGGGCUACACACGUGCUACAAUGGUAUCUACAACAGGAAGCAAAACGGCAACGUUAAGCAAAUCCCGAAAAGAUACCUCAGUUCGGAUUGCACUCUGCAACUCGAGUGCAUGAAGCUGGAAUUACUAGUAAUCGUGGAUCAGCGUGCCACGGUGAAUGCGUUCCCGGGUCUUGUACACACCGCCCGUCACACCAUGGGAGUUGGUUCUACCUUAAG